rnacentral:rRNA from 1 species
AUGUGGGAUUCUGCAACAAGGUCAGACAAACCUGAGGAUAUAGGUGGUCAAGAGGUUCAGAUUAUUCAGAAGGAAGAUUUUGAUAAACAAGUGCAACGGGAAGUGCAGAGGAGGAUGAACAUUUUCCUUCAGCAAAAAGAGGUGAAACGACUCAGAGAACAAUUGCUCAAGAGCAGUAAAAGGCUGACUUUCAGAGGCAGUAUAAAGAGGAGCCGGCUGCUCUGGAUAAUGAACAUGGCACCAUCUCCCUUUCUGAUGGUGCUGAUGACACUAUCACAUCUCAAGAUAGGGGGAGCAGAAUCUCUGAUCAAAUUCCAGAUGAGGUGGAGGGCAUUGACAGUAAGGCAUAUAGGGAUGAUCUUGAAUGAAACCAACAAAUGUCAGAUUUCUGAACCUGGGGUGGAGAACAAUGAGUUUACUUCUUCGAGGGCAGAUCAUGAUCAAGACAACACAGUGAGGAGGAGCUCAAGACUUGCGAGGGUCGAAAACUUGGAGAUCCAAAAGGACAAUGGCUAUGAGGAGGAUGGAGGCGCAGCUUCUACUUAUUUAUUGUCACAAAAAGAAACACAUUAUGCAGCAGAGGAUUAA